UAACCCUUUCAUGCCCUCUGUAACCUGAUCACAUGAUAAGCUGUCCACUGUAGUAACCACUGUCCCUGAAAGUGUUAAGUUACUGCAAAUAAACUUGAGCGAUAUGUCACAAUGUUAGUCAAUCCCCUUUGGAACUUUUGAAAACAAAAGCUGUCGAUUGGCUUCUUGUCUCAUGAAACAUUUUUCAUGAUGACAGAUCAAGACCCAAGGAUUUGUGUUUUGUAUUUUGUCCACUUUUUGAUAUAUUUCCCCCAUGCCCUCCAAAUUAUGGAAUUUCGGAAGACUUUGACUUUGGGGGUUCCACUAUAUGUCAAGCGUUGCUCUCACAGGAUCUUUAUGUAUUGUAUGUGAAAACAGCGUUAUGGCUUGUGGGACCACAAAUACCCUUUGGUGGAACAAAGUAACUCAACAGGUGAUGACAAGGAGGAAAAAGGCAAAAACAAGGACGACCGAUUGAACUCGGUGUCUACCACAGAAAAUCUAAAUAUCACUGACCUGGAACAACACGAAAAGCUCUUUCCAGCUGACUUAGCAGCAUCCCUGGACAGACAAGAAAGUGUUUCAGGGCUGAUUCAUUCCAGAAGGCUGAAAAAGGAUGUUAGUGGAAGCAGAGAAGAGGUCUUUGAGGAAAUCACACAGAAAAGCAGUGGCCUCCACUUACGCAAGAAACCCAAAGAACUUAA